GGCAGUCAAAGUAGGCAAAUCCGCUUUGAUAAUGCUGGGAUGUGAUGGGGAGCGAAAUUUAGUAGCGAAGUAGCUGAUUUCACACUGUCAAGAAAAGUCUCGAUCGAGGUUAAAGGUACCCGUACCGAAAACCGACACAGGUGGGUGAGGAGAGUAUCCUAAGGCCAGCGAGAGAACUGUUGUUAAGGAACUCGGCAAAAUGACCCCGUAACUUAGGGAUAAGGGGUGCCACCAUCAGGUGGCCGCAGAGAAUAGGCCCAAGCGACUGUUUACCAAAAACAUAGGUUUCUGCUAAGUCGCAAGACGAUGUAUAGGAGCUGACGCCUGCCCGGUGCUGGAAGGUUAAGGGGAUCUGUUAGAGUAAUCGAAGCAGUGAACUUAAGCCCCAGUAAACGGCGGCCGUAACUAUAACGGUCCUAAGGUAGCGAAAUUCCUUGUCGGGUAAGUUCCGACCCGCACGAAAGGCGUAACGAUUUGGGCACUGUCUCAACAACAGACUCGGUGAAAUUGUAAUUCCGGUGAAGAUGCCGGAUACCUGCGACAGGACGGAAAGACCCCAUGGAGCUUUACUGUAGCUUGACAUUGGGUCUUGGUACUACAUGUACAGGAUAGGUGGGAGGCUUUGAAACCAGGACGCCAGUUUUGGCGGAGCCAUCCUUGGGAUACCACCCUUGUAGUACUGGGACUCUAACCAUAGGCCAUGAAUCUGGUCUUGGGACACUGUCAGGUGGGCAGUUUGACUGGGGCGGUCGCCUCCCAAAAGG
rnacentral:rRNA from 1 species